CAGUACAACAACACCAGCUAACCCGACCCAACCUCCAAUUCCUCUUCUCCUCAUAUAUGCACAGAAAUAAUGUAACAGCUUUAAUAAACACCAACAACAACAACUCUCAACCCAACAAUGAUGACCCGAUAACCCAACACUAAAAACCGACUUUGAACCAACUCCGAUCGAGUAACGGAACCUCGACCCAACAAAACCCCUUUUUUUGUUCCUCUUCUCAUCUCAAAAUUGUGGGGACCUUCUAGAAAAUAUCCAGUGGUGGCGAAUUCCAACGAAGCUCAAAAUGUCGUUUUGCUACCCAAAAGCUGGUUAGUCUUUGAUUCUCUCUUUUGUACUGUCGCGAUGUAAUAGUUGUAGUCAUAGUAUGAUUUCGAUUAUUGCGUUGUACACUGGGAUUGUUCGCUGUAGAGUGAUUCAAUGGCCAUAGGGAUUUCUUGAAAUGAUUGUCUAUAUAUUGUUUACUGUAUCACCAUCCAUACAAUAGCCUUUGUGCCACGAUUGAUUUCGUACUUUACUGUUAGGUUAUUUUGAGUUCCCUGUUUUUGUGACAAUGUUAAUGUUUAGUAAUUAAUUUGUCGAGGACAUGAUGUUUAGGUCGUCUUUAUGAUUCAAUAAUUUCUAUAGCACUGCUUCGGUAUUGACUUUAUCCCAUGCGUAGUUUUCUCUCGAUUCAUGUUAAAUCGGUUUAACUGAAAAUUCAAUGAAUUAGUCUCGCCAUUUGCUUUCUGGUUUAUGCCUUCAAAAUCAUUGCAAUAUUGGUUUCGUUAGUCCUCAACUUAUUAUUUUUAUAGUUAAAUAUCAUAGUAUGAUCUUGCUUGUAUUCAGCUGAAUAUUUGUUGUUUAAGUUUUCUUUGUCACCUUAGUUCAACAUUGCUAGUGGCUUGCCCGUUCCUUACCGUAUCUUAUGCUUGUUUUUGAAUUGUCGUGAGUAUGUAAAGAUGUUCCUCAAGUUCCUAUUGGCAAGAAAAUGUCAAAAAAGGAUGAAGGAUACAUUGUAUAGGUCCCUUGUUUGAUAGAAUUGCUACGAGGGUUAAUAUUCUCUUGGCAUCAUAAUGAUAGUCUUGAUGCACUAGUGCGAAUGUGUUUAACGUAACCUAACAACCAUAGGAAAAAGAUGAAGAAGCAUGCUUUUUAGGUCUCUUGUAGCUUCAAAAGCUUCUGUUUUAUUUGUUUUCCAUGAAAGUGGGUUCUUUUAUUAUUUUUUGAUCUUUUUCCUUUUAGUUCGAAUACCGUGGUUUCUUUAUUUCUCUCUUAAUGACAUUUAUUAGCGCCUGAUUUCAGAUUCAAUGUCUUAAUAGGGUUAAAAAAUGUAAGUCACUAUUUUCGUCUAAAUAUUUCAAGUUUGAGUAGUUGUAUUCUUAACGUGCUAGUUUGAUAUUGAUUAUGUAGUUUGUGUUAGCUGUAAGGCUGUUUCCGAAAUUAUUUCUUAGCUGAUAAUAUCUUAUUAGCAGUCUGUUACUUUAAAUUAUCUCUUCUUCAUUUUCUUGUCUCUAGUCUGUAAAAGCUGAAUUUGGUUAUCUAGUUGGAUUUUGUCAAAUCUUAGACAAAAGGCGAUAACAUCUUAUAAUAUACUAGGAUUUUCUUGGCUUACAAAUUUAUUAGUUCUCUGGUUUGUUUGAGUUUGCAUCUAAUUGUCCCUUCCCUUUUACCUAUUCAUUUAAUCUCUUAAGAAGUUCAUUUCAUGUCUUUACUUUACUUUGUUUAAAUUUUUAUUAUCAUUCCUUAUGGUCUCCCUGUUUGAUUUUCCAUGUAUGAGUUUGAUUCAUAUUUCUUUGUUGUCCAAAUUAUUCAUUGUUUGUAAAAACAUAUUAAUUUCUUCAUCUUUUACUUUGCAUGAACCCGUCUGAGAGUCCAAAUGGACUCUUUUUCUUUGUAUUUCAUAAUGGCCAAUAAGGCCCAUCUCAUUGAGUCCAGCUCGAAAGAAAGCCUUAGGUCAAAUGGCAUACGUAUACGAGAAGUUGGAAGAAGGAAAAUUAACCGCAGGCCCCUGGUUGAAGUAGCUAAGAGACUCGAAGAGUCUCAUUUUCCCUUAUUUAUUUAUUUAUUAUCACUUUAUUUAUUUUUAAGUUAUUUAUUUAGGCCUUGAAGCCAAAGUUGUAUUUUAAUACAGGUGAAGCAAAACUCGAGCCAAAGAUUCAAAAAAAUAGUUUAGGACAUGUUAUGGACCGAAAGCCAAAUGUUUAGAUUAUGGCAGGUGAAGAAAGGCCAAAAGCCUAAUUAGAUUAGGAAAGAGUUUAUUGAUUUGGGCCCAAUGGUUUAAGUCUUUUAUUUUCUCCCA